AGGAACAAAAAAUACGUCAACGCUGAGCUGAUUCCAAGAACCAGUGCAUACCAAUACGUAAUUCUGACUUCUGAAGCAUUUUCCCAGCUUGCCUUUAGAAGUUGAGAAACUGUACAACCUCAUCACAAUGGUAGAUGCCUGGCUUCCUUCUGAUGGUGGUUACUGCUGAGAGCUGUCAUACUACAUGAAAUUCCCUGAGAACAAGGUUCUCUUCAGUGGGAGUGGCAUUCGUGGCACAGAGAUGCCUAGCUGAAACUAUGCGGGGUUUGACUGACAAGAGGAUGUAGUCUUUGCUGAGAGCACUUUCUUUAAGGUCCCUUUUGGU
rnacentral:lncRNA from 1 species